rnacentral:rRNA from 1 species
UACGUAGGGGGCGAGCGUUGUCCGGAUUUAUUGGGCGUAAAGAGCGUGUAGGCGGCCAGGUAGGUCUGCUGUGAAAACUCGAGGCUCAACCUCGAGACGUCGGCGGAAACCAUCUGGCUAGAGUCCGGAAGAGGAGAGUGGAAUUCUGGUGUAGCGGUGAAAUGCGCAGAUAUCAGGAAGAACACCCGUGGCGAAGGCGGCUCUCUGGGACGGUACUGACGCUGAGACGCGAAAGCGUGGGGAGCGAACAGG